GAUGAACGCUGGCGGCGUGCCUAAUACAUGCAAGUCGAGCGGACAGACGAGGAGCUUGCUCCUCUGACGUUAGCGGCGGGCGGGUGAGUAACACGUGUAUCACCUACCUAUCAGACUGGGAUAACUUCGGAACACCGGAUCUAAUCCCGGAUGAUCUAUUGAAGCGCGUGGGUCGAUGGUGAGAGACGGUUUUUCUGUCACUUCUCGCUGGAUCCGCGCCGUAUUAGCUGGUUGGUCAGGUAACGGCUUACCAAGGCGACGAGGCGUAGACGACCGGAGAGACGGAUCGGCCACACGAGAGCGUGGACACGCACAUGACUCCUACGGGAGGCAGCAGUCGCGAAUCGUCCGCAAUGGGCGAAAGCCUUACGGAGCAACGCCGCGCGAGUGAUGAAGGCCUUCGGAUCGGAAUACUGGGUUACUGGUGAUGAACCACUGUGUAAGUAACUAUGCACUUCUUGACGGUACCGAAUCAGAAAGCCCCGGCUAACUACGUG
rnacentral:rRNA from 1 species